rnacentral:rRNA from 1 species
UACGAAGGGGGCUAGCGUUGUUCGGAAUUACUGGGCGUAAAGCGCGCGCAGGCGGCUAUCCAAGUCAGUGGUGAAAGCCCGGAGCUCAACUCCGGAACUGCCAUUGAAACUGUUUAGCUUGAGGACGAGAGAGGUGAGUGGAAUUCCCAGUGUAGAGGUGAAAUUCGUAGAUAUUGGGAGGAACACCGGUGGCGAAGGCGGGUCUCUGGGCCGAUACUGACGCUGAGGAGCGAAAGCGUGGGGAGCGAACAG